rnacentral:rRNA from 1 species
AUUGAACGCUGGCGGCAUGCUUUACACAUGCAAGUCGAACGGUAACAGGUUAAGCUGACGAGUGGCGAACGGGUGAGUAAUGCAUCGGAACGUGCCCGAUCGUGGGGGAUAACGCAGCGAAAGCUGCGCUAAUACCGCAUACGAUCUGAGGAUGAAAGCGGGGGACCGUAAGGCCUCGCGCGAUCGGAGCGGCCGAUGUCAGAUUAGGUAGUUGGUGGGGUAAAGGCUCACCAAGCCAACGAUCUGUAGCUGGUCUGAGAGGACGACCAGCCACACUGGGACUGAGAUACGGCCCAGACUCCUACGGGAGGCAGCAGUGGGGAAUUUUGGACAAUGGGCGCAAGCCUGAUCCAGCAAUGCCGCGUGCAGGAAGAAGGCCUUCGGGUUGUAAACUGCUUUUGUACGGAACGAAAAGGUUUGGGUUAAUACCCUGGGCCGAUGACGGUACCGUAAGAAUAAGCACCGGCUAACUACGUGCCAGCAGCCGCCGUAAAAC